GAGAGUAUAGCCCAGUGGUAGAGUGCAUGCUUAGCAUGUAUGAGGUCCUGGGUUCAAUUCCCAGUAUCUGCA
rfam:Camelus ferus unplaced genomic scaffold scaffold1052, whole genome shotgun sequence.